rnacentral:pre_miRNA from 12 species
CUCCGCGGAUGAGGGGUGGUCGUCAAAUCCCGGGCGAGCCCCCAAAUGUGAGACCCCCAGAGGGAGGCCCUUACUCUGUCCCACGGAUCCACGGCAACCCCAAUCAACCGCAGGAGGCG